rnacentral:rRNA from 1 species
UGGGGAAUUUUGGACAAUGGGCGCAAGCCUGAUCCAGCCAUGCCGCGUGCGGGAAGAAGGCCUUCGGGUUGUAAACCGCUUUUGUCAGGGAGAAAUCUUCUGAGUUAAUACCUCGGGAGGAUGACGGUACCUGAAGAAUAAGCACCGGCUAACUACGUGCCAGCAGCCGCGGUAAUACGUAGGGUGCAAGCGUUAAUCGGAAUUACUGGGCGUAAAGCGUGCGCAGGCGGUUUUGUAAGACAGAGGUGAAAUCCCCGGGCUCAACCUGGGAACUGCCUUUGUGACUGCAAGGCUUGAGUGCGGCAGAGGGGGAUGGAAUUCCGCGUGUAGCAGUGAAAUGCGUAGAUAUGCGGAGGAACACCGAUGGCGAAGGCAAUCCCCUGGGCCUGCACUGACGCUCAUGCACGAAAGCGUGGGGAGCAAACAGGAUUAGAUGCCCUGGUAGUCCACGCCCUAAACGAUGUCAACUGGUUGUUGGGAAGGUUCCUUCUCAGUAACGUAGCUAACGCGUGAAGUUGACCGCCUGGGGAGUACGGCCGCAAGGUUG